CCGCACUCGCCCACCGACUCCCCUUGGAUCUUCGUUAGAACCUGACAAUUGGUAAAUGAAGAGGUCUUAAGAAACUGGCACUGUCUGCCUCCUGUCUCUGGGGAUACUUACUGUUAUAACCCAGCCAUCAUAUUCUGAGGAAGCCCAAGCAGCAAGAUGCCCAAAUGAAGAGGAAUCAAGACCCUUUUCUCUUGGGCCUAGCUAAGCUUCCAGCUGACAGCUAGCAUCAACUUGCCAGUCAUGUGAGUGUGCCAUCUUGGAAGUGGAUUCUCCCAUUCCUAGACUGAUACUAUGUGAAUCACACCCAAAUCUGCCAUGCUGAGCCCUGCCUGAAUUGCAGAUUCAUGAGCUAAGCAGAUGAUUUUUGUUAUUUUUAGCCACUAAGUUUUGAGGUAGAUUGUUUCUCAGUAGUACAUAACUAGAACAAUGGGCAUGCUUAUUUAUGAAAGUAAGAUCUUCUGGAUAUAGUGUAGUGGGUCUGCAUCAGUAGGGAUUCAUUAGAUAGGUAAAUUGCUGUAUACAAGAAAUUACAGAAACAUGGAGGAUGGGGAGCCAGAAAUCUAGGGAGCAGAGGAAGUGGAAGAUGAAAGUAGAGGGCUCUAGCAAUUAGGAGAGUGUCUGGAGCACAAAUAAACUCAACAACCAGAGAAAAUGAUCUCGUGCCAGAGAUGGCAUGGGGCUAUUUAAGAAUUGGAAUGCCAGUGGUUCAGGUUUAAGGUGUAUGCUAAUGCAGCUGCCUGCCAUAUGAUGAACUACCUGCUAAUCUCCAUCGAGUUACAGCAAACCUUCAGCCAAAUCCUGCCACACAUACAGUCGCUGUUUCUGGAAUACUCAGGAUGGGGACAUAAAAAGCAGCAAUACGAAAAGAAAAUUUAAUUACAAGAGGGAGAAAAGAAAAUGUGGGACUGAGAAGAAUAAUUUCAAUGUGGAUACAAGGAUUUGAUAACAACUCUGACUGAGUCCUAUCACUAGGCAAGAUUUGCAAAGACUCCUUGAGCAGUGAGAAGACAUUAAGGGGAAACAGAGAGAAAAGAAAGAAACAAUCGAGAGAGAUUGCACUAUAGGACGGUAAUAGUCUGAGAAAUGAAGGAGAAAUCUGGUUAUACAAUCUGCUAGGAUCAUAUUUAGGGAUUGAUAGUGUAGAUAUUGCCUUUUUGGAUAGUCACAGAAUAUCGCUUCUGCUUACAUUAAUUUCAGAGGAAUUUGGUUUGAAAUUGAAAAGUAGUAAAGUUGCUCCCAAUUCCUAUUAAAGAAAAAGUAAUAAAAAUCGCCAAUAUAGCUAACCUGUUAGAGGCCUCACAAAUAUUUACUGCAGUAGAAUGGAUCACGAAGAAGUCAGUAAAGAUGAAGGGAUGACUACCCUGUGUCACCAGGGAGUUUAACUGGAUGACUUCCCACGGUUUUAGGACCAGAACACAUGACAGAGUUCAACAGGGAUGCUGGGUCAGAUUUUCCCUUUCUCCACGCCGGCCUGUGCCCAGACAGAGGGGAAAAUCACCGCACACAGCUGGCAAGCUAUGCUCAGAGUUGUAUAACAUUCUGGAAGGCCUUGGGGGAUACUAGAGUACCCUGACACACAGCCAACUGGCCUGCCCUGAGAGAUCAGCCAGCUAGCUCAAAGAGGACUGCAGAGCUGUGGGCACUGCCUCCGGUUUGGGGAAAUACAGAGCAAUCCUGGGCACAGGUCCAUGAUGCUUACCCUGGGAGUCUGCAUUGAUAAGGGCUGAUUUUCUGCUCUGGUGAGGGGCCCUGAGAAGAUAAGGGGAUUCUGAGGCAUUUAUGAGGAUCUAGUUUCAAGGGAGCUUGAACACCUACUACGAGCAAUGUACUAUGUGCUAUGUCUUCUGUCAUGGUUUUAUAAUUCAGUCUUCACUACUCUCCUGAAAUGUACCCCAUUUUACAGAUGAGGAAAAUGAGGCUCAGUGACAACAAGUCACUUGCCUGGACUACACUGUGACUAGUAAGUAAGACUAGUUACUUAGACUAGUAAGUAACAGUAUUAGAAUCUGAGUUGGGGUUGCCUGACUUCAAGGCACACGUACUUGUGAUUUAGUAAAAGCCACACAGCUUCCCUUCAACUAAAAUGCUUUAAUCCACUGGCAUCCAAGAAGAUUUCACCCUUACCUUUACAGCGCACAUUCUUCUGCUUUACAUAAACAAAAAUUCUCCUACCUCUGGGAGCCACAGCUCCUAGGAGUCCUUAAGCUGUCUCAGGUUUCUUUUUGGGGCAUAUAAUGUUCUAAGGACAGCUAGUUUUUUAAUCAAAUGAAAAACACACAUAGAGUUUUAGUAUAUGCUUAACACUGACAGAUUCAGGGUCAGUUUCUUACCUUAUUCCCUUUCCCUGCCCUUUCCCCCAAGCCACAACACACACACACACACACACACACACACACACACACACACACACACACACACACCCCCUCCGCGGCAGUAAAACGGCCAGAAGAUUCUAUUUCCUCUGAAUGAAACAGAAAUUUGGAAAAUUAGCAGCAGGGCAGCCAGUCAAUUCCAACUGUGUUCUUUUCCACCAUCCACAAGGACUUUAAUGUUUCAUAUAAUUAACCCUUUAACGUACUGAUGUGGCCGAGAGGAAAAAUGCAAUGGCUGAAAAAUUUUGGAGAAGUUAGGUAGUGGGAAAGUCCUGACACAAAGAACAAAUAAGAGAAGAGGGACAAUUUACAACAAAGAACUGAGACCAGCGAGCAGAGAAUAAGACAAAUAAAUGAGCAAGGGGGUAAUCUAUAAGAGCACGGGCCACGGAGCUCCAAGUGCCUGGAUUUCAAUAGGUGUUGAUCUGGGAUAAGUUAAUGUUUAAUUUGUCAAACAGAGAUUAAAAAUAGUACCUAUCUGUGUUAAUUCAAUGAUGUUAAGUCUUGGUAUAUACUAAAUGAUUAAUACAUACUAGCUUUUACUUUUAAUUUCUUAUUAAUUUUAGAUAAGUUAAAAAAGAAAAUGUAAAGGUAAUGGAAUCGUGAAGAAAGGUACAAAAUAGUAAGCUAGAGGAAAGCCACAAUGCAAUUAAAGGGAAAGGGAGAAAAGAAAAGGCAAAAACAAACAAAUACAUUAAGAAGAUAAAAUAAAACAGAAGCUAUUUACAAUAAUUGGGAGAGGAAGUCACUACCAAGUUAGUGGGGAAAAUAGAAAUAAACUAUUCAAUUCAUGAAGGUAACUAUGGAAUGAAGUGAAAAUAAAACGUCUAGGUUAUAGCCUGCAGAUUAGCUACCUGGCCUGCAUGCACCGGAGCAGCAAAUUUCCUGUCCUUCAGAUGACUUGCGUGGGCUCCAAGUACAACGCUUCAAGAACAUUCAGGUGAGGGAGCUGGAGGACUCACCCAGUCCUACCCUUUAAGCUGUCUAAUCUAUGAUAAUAAUAAAAAAAAAAACUACAAAAAAAGUGAGGAGAAGGGAAGAAGCAAGGUGGUGGAAUGUUGAACUAAAUCAAGUUGAAGUGAAUGGAAAAUGAGAAACCGCAAUAAGGAACAAGUUGCAAAAAAAAAAAAAAAAGCAAAGGACAGAAAAUAAAUUCUCAAGCAAAUGGCAAUGGAAAAAAGAGAGACUAGUGGGACAGACACCAGGAAGUAACUCCAUCAAAGAAAAGUGGCCUUAGGGAGAAAAGGAAAAGGAGAAAUGGACAAGAAGAAGAAGGCGCCUGUGUACCACUGAACUCCAGCCUGGGCGAUGUAGUGACCCCAUCUCUAAAAAAGAAAAAGACUCUGGCAUGGAAUAUUUAGGUUUUGAGUCCCAGUUCUGUGACUAAGGAAGGGUCACUUAACCUCUCUGAGUGCCAAUUUCCUCUUGGAAUUUCAAUACAAAGAGACUGGGUUUGAUGAUCUAAGGACCCAGUCUAGGGACUCAUUAGAAUAAUAAAACAGCUCUCCCUGAAUCCAGCCCUUGCUCUUGCUACUUUAGUUGCUGAUGCAUGGGGCCCUAUACAGGGGGUAGAAAUAACUCUGAGGGACUAAAUAGAAAAGAAAGACCAACAAUGCAGGAGCAACAUGAAACACAGGGAGAAAUGAAGAAACAAAGGCUUACAGUAAAAAAAAAAAAAAAAAAAAAAGAACAUACAAAUGAAACAAAAUAAUUGCAAUUCUCUUAGGCUGAUAUCCACUACUUGUGCCAAUGAAAGUUUUCUUUUGUUAAUAUUACAUAUUUAUUUUAUCUUUAUGCCCUUGUAAAUGGUAUUUAGCAUCAAGUCCCAAUUAAAAUCUUAAAACAAAAAUACAGCAUCUAAGUGGAUGGGCAGGAGAGCAUGUCAGGAAGGGAAAAACAUAGCCAUGUUCCUCAAAUAACAGAAAUCUAAAAAAAAAUUCUCACUAAAAAGUUGUCAAAGAUCAUGUGAAGAGGGAACAUUAAAAACCAAAAUAGGCAGACAAAAAGGCCUAACAACAACAAAAAAGAAAGUGGUGAAGUUUUGCAACUGCUGUGCCUAGUACACUGGUGUGUUGCAAUUGGAUUACUGCUGUAGCCAUCUGGGCAGUUGGGUCCCAGGUGGUACACAGCCUUGUGCCUUAAUCACAAUGUGAGAUGAGAGUACUGAAUAAUAAUAAAGUGAAUAAUAUUAUCUUUUUAGAUGGGUUGUGGCAUGGCAAAAUCUGAGAAUAACUGGGAUAUUGACCACAGGAUGAAGAGAAGUGAGAAAACCCCACCUAUAAUUUUUUUUUUAAUAAAGGAACAUUUAUAAGAGAAUAAUCAGAAAAAGAUAACAGCAGCUGUUUAUGUCCAAAUAUAUACGGGAAGGAACAAAAGUGAAGCUCCCUAUUGCAAUGUAGUGCUAAAAAUAGAUGAUGAAAUACUUAUUAUUUGAACUGGAAUGAAUCUUAAAGGUUAUGACAGUUCUUGAACACUUGUUUUGCAGUUUUGUGUGUACAAGUCUACACUCCUGCUGGAGUGUAGGCCCCUAAUUUGUGUUAUCCGUAUGUGGGUUUACGGCCCCAACAGGGAGUACACAGUGGCUCGUAGAAUGUAGGCAUGUAAUUCAUGCUUGUUGAAUUAGUGCAUUUUGUUGAAACAUUCAUUUUACAAAUGUCCAGAGAGGCAAAUGGAAACACAGAUGGUUAAUGGCCAAAUGCCACCACAGAGCAGAUCCCAGGUGUCCUUGCUGCCAGUUCAGAGCUCAUUACCACCUCCUUUACUGUCCCUUUUUUGCUCCAUGCCUCACACCAAGGAACACAGAGUGGUCUGCAGGGAGCAAGGUGUGGCCCAGGAGUUAAGAGCUGGUUCUAAAGGUCCUGGUUCUCUCAUUCUCUGGGGACCUCAGUAAAACCAUUUCUUUCUAAGUCCCAGUUUUCUUCUCUGUGAAAUACUGUGGUCAGAUAAAAUCAUUUACACAAAUUCUCAUUUGAAAAGAG
rnacentral:lncRNA from 10 species